rnacentral:rRNA from 1 species
CAACUAAUAAGGGCGUAUGGAGGAUGCCUUGACACUAAAAGGCGAUGAAGGUCGUGGCGUGUCUGCGAUAAGCUUCGGGGAGGCGACUAGCAGCCUUUGAUCCGGAGAUGACCGAAUGGGAAAACCCCGCGCGGCAAACCCGCGCGAGCGCCGCUUUACAGCGAAGUUAAAAGUAAAAAAUCAAAAGUCAAAAUUUCAAUUCAAAAGUUAAAAGUUUCAGACAAUUUUUAAUUUUAACUUGUAGUUUUGAAUUUUGCAUUUUGAAUUUUGAAUUCGCCGCAAAGCGGCGUGGCGUACCUGGCGAAGUGAAACAUCUCAGUAGCCAGAGGAAAAUAAAUCAAAAAGAUUUCCUUAAUAGCGGCGAGCGAACGGGAAAUAGCCUAAACCGUGUGGCUCACCUUUGUUGAGCCACCGCGGACUUUGCGGACUAAACGCGGAACUACGCGGACAAACUAAAAAAUGUCUGCGUAAGUCGGCGUAAAGUCAGCGUUAGUCAGCGGUGACGAGCAGAGGCGAGUCACAUGGGGUAAUAGGGAUAGGACACUUCUAGAAUCUAGAAGAUAGAAUCCAGAAAGUAGAAAGAGGAGUAAUCCAAAUUCUAUUUUCUGUUUUCUAUUCUCUAUUUUCUAGAUAAAGAGUUACAAAGUUGGAUGUUAGCAGAACGGCCCUGGAAUGGCCGACCAUAGCGGGUGACAGUCCCGUAUGCGAAAAUGUUCAACCUCUUGUUCUGUUACCUGAGUAGUCCGGGAUAAGAUUGUCCUGGGUGAAUUUGCCCAUACUACUGGGUAAGGCUAAAUACUUUUAGUGAUCGAUAGUGAACCAGUACCGUGAGGGAAAGGUGAANNNNNNNNNNNNNNNNNNNNNNNNNNNNNNNNNNNNNNNNNNNNNNNNNNNNNNNNNNNNNNNNNNNNNNNNNNNNNNNNNNNNNNNNNNNNNNNNNNNNNNNAGUCACAGUGACGGUGUGCCUAUUGAAGAAUGACCCAACGAGUUUAUUUAUACUGCGAACUUUAAGCUCUUAUGGAGCGUAAGGGCAGGGAAACCGAGUGUUAAUAGCGCGACUCCCGCCUAAGUUUUUGGAUUUGCUUUUGCAAUGUGCGUCUAGGACGCAUAUCCAAAAAUUUAGGCGGGUAAGCAGUAUGGAUAAGACCCGAAACCAGACGAGCUAACCAUGGCCAGGGUGAAAGCCGCCGAAAAGCGGCUGGAGGCCCGAACCGGUUUGUAGCGCAAUACGAUCGGAUGAGCUGUGGUUAGGAGUGAAAAGCUAAUCGAGUUUGGUAAUAGCUGGUUCUCCCCGAAAUGUCUUUAGGGACAGCCGCAUAUAGUAACAAAGGGGGUAGAGCACUGAUUGGUUCGCCGUGCCUUUUUAGGUAGGUUUACCAAAUAAACUCCGAAUACCUUUGUGUAAUGUAUGCGAGUGAGACUACGAGGGCAAAGCUUCGUGGUCGCGAGGGAAAGAGCCCAGAUCACCGCUUAAGGCCCCUAAAUGUAAACUAAGUGAGAAGGAAGUGUUUUGCCUUAGACAGGUAGGAGGUUGGCUUAGAAGCAGCCAUCCUUUAAAGAGUGCGUAAUAGCUCACUACUCGAACCAUGCACUUUCUAGAAUUUGAAGUUAAGUUUGAUAUUCAAGAAUUAAUUUUUUGGAAAUCUUGCGAGAUUAUCGAGUUUUAGAAAGUGCAUGGAAGGCAAAGUGCGCCAAAAAUGUAGCGGGACUAAGUUUACUGCCGAAAGCGUGGAUUCGUCACGAUUUAUCGUGAUGAGUGGUAGGGGAGCAUUCCCAACGCGGGUAGUGAAGGCCGCAAGGCUUGAACUACUCCAAACUGUGAAGGUGUGCCGUGAGGCAUGCUGGAGUGUUGGGAAGGGAGAAUGUUGGGAUGAGUAACCGCAAGACCAGUGAAAGUCUGGUCCGCCGAAAGCUCAAGGUUUCCUCCGCGAUGGCAAUCAUCGGAGGGUUAGGCGUCCCUAAGGAUAACCAUGCCUAUGGGCAUGGGAAUCUGAUGGUGAGCCGGUUAAUAUUCCGGCCCCGCGUGCAUAUUCGACAGGGAUGACGGGGAAUAAAAGAUUUCGCGUAUUAUUGGAUUUACGCAUCCCAUUUUAGAACGAGAACCAGGCAAAUCCGGUUCUGGCCGCAAGGCGCUUUCGUAAAUGGGUUAGGACUGCCGCAAGGCAGGAUGAAAUUGAAGAGUCCUCCAAGAAAAGUCUCUAAGAUUAGUAUGUACGCGCACGUACCGCAAAACCGACACAGGUGAGCAGGUGUAAGUGCACCAAGGCGAACGGGUGAUUAUUGGCUAAGGAACUCGGCAAAAAAGCGGCCGUAAGUUCGCGAUAAGGCCUGCCAUCUUCGGAUGGCCGCAGCUAAAGAACCUCUGGCGACUGUUUAUCAAAAACACAACUCCGUGCUAAGCCGAAAGGCGCUGUAUACGGGGUGACGCUUGUCCGGUGCCGGAACGUUAACGGUUGAACUUGUGGCUCACCCUUGUGAGCCACCGCGGACAGUCACAGACUGGACGCAGACAAACGCAGAAAUUUUUCCGCGUAAGUCCGCGUUAAGUCAGUGUAAGUCAGCGGUGACGAACAGAGGCGAGUCACAGGGGAAGCCCGAAGCGCCGGUGAACGACGGCAGUAACUAUAACUGUCUAAAAGUUCUGCUCAUCUGAAAGCAGGUGCGUAGAAGAGCUUAGACAGUUAUGUAACUAAGCUAGAGACACAAGGAAAAUGUUGCUUAAUUAUGCGGAAUGCAUAAUUGCUCUUAAAAUAUAUUCGGCUAUAUGCUGGGAAAUCUGGUGUAUCGAAUGCUACUUUGAUAUAAUUGAAACAAGGCCGAUAUAACCCUUGUUUCUAUGAAGCAAAGUAAAAAUGCAAUUCGUGCAGAAAACCAGCAGGAAAGACUAAUUAAAAUUGGUUGGAUUGUGGGUUUUGUUGAUGGCGAAGGAUGUUUUACUGUCGGUUUUAUCAAACAACCUGACAGACCCGAUAGAAAAGGAUAUAAACUCGGUAUUCAACCAUAUUAUGAGUUUGCAGUUACCCAAGGAAUUAGUAGUAAGAAGUCCCUUCUUACCCUGAAAAAAUUCUUUGGUGUUGGCGAAUUGUAUAUCAACAAGAGAUAUGAUAAUCACAAGGAACAUCUUUAUAGAUAUACCGUUAGAAGAAGAGAACAUAUUUCAAAUAUAAUUAUUCCCUUCUUUGAAAAGUAUCAACUUCAAACUCAAAAAAGAAAAAACUUCGAGAUCUUUGCGCAAUGCAUGAAAAUGAUAGAACAGAAGAUGCAUUUACAAAGAGAAGGGCUGAUCAAAAUUAUACAGCUCACAGAAAACAUGAACCAUAAACGAAGAAAAGAUAAUUUAAUUAGAAUCCUCAGAAACCAAACGCCGAAGCUUGCGAUUUCUAAAAUGAAACCGUGGGUAAGAUAGAGUUCGGACCGCAUGGCGACAUGUGGAAAUUCCUAGCGAAAUACCUUGUGGGGUAAGUUCCCACGCGCAUGAAUAGCGCAACGACUGGAGGACUGUCUCAGCCAAUAGCCCGGUGAAAAUGCAAUGUCAGUAAAGAUGCUGACUACCCGCACCAAGACGGAAAGACCCCGGAAGCUUUACUGUAGCUUGGUAUUGGUCUAUGAGUUUUACUGCGUAGCGUAGUGGGUAGGAUUUGAAGUCCCGAUUUCGGUUGGGAUAGAUCCGCCGAUGAAACACCCAUCUUUAAGACUUAUAGCUCUAACUGGUAAAGCCCUAGAAGGAGAAAAUAUGCAAAAAUUUUUUGAAAAAGGAUCUCAAGAAAACUAUAUGAUUAUGAGACAAAUGCUCAAACGAGAAGAUUGGAAACAAAGUUGGAAAGAAAAUGGCAUUGAUUUAAGUGAAGAAAGUGUUGAAAGAGAUUUUCAGAUUGCAAAGCAAUGGUUCUUAAAACAUCCAACUUUUAUUGAUCCUGGCAUUCAACAUCUCAUUAGGUGAGCUUAACUCACCUCUUUCUAGGGCUUUAUCAAGACAGUGCCUGGCGGGCAGUUUUGGUGGGGCACUAGCCUCCUAAAGAGUAAUGGAGGCGUUCAUUAAGGUUGGCUAGCUGCGGAUGGAAAUCGCAGCGAUAGUGUAAAGGCAUAAGCCAGCUUAACUGCAAGGCGGACGUGCCGCGCAGAUGCGAAAGCAGGACCUAGUGAACCGACGCUGGCUCGUAGGAGCGGCGAAGAUCAACGAAUAAAAGCUACUCCGGGGAUAACAGGCUGGUACCAUCCGAGCGUUCACAGCGACGAUGGUGUUCGGCACCUCGAUGUCGG